UUCGGAGACCAUACCACGUUGAAAGCACCGGUUCUCGUCCUAUCACCGAUGUUUAACUAUGUUAGGGCCGGUUCGUACUUGUAUGGGUGACCAGCUGGCAAUAUCGGCUGUUCGUGGAC
rnacentral:rRNA from 1 species